UAAGGAAUAUUGGUCAAUGGAGGCGACUCUGAACCAGCCAUGCCGCGUGCAGGAAGAAGGCCCUAUGGGUCGUAAACUGCUUUUGAACAAGAGAAAACCCCGGUACGUGUACUGGGUUGAUAGUAUUGUUAGAAUAAGCAUCGGCUAACUUCGUGCCAGCAGCCGCGGUAAGACGAAGGAUGCAAGCGUUAUCCGGAUUCAUUGGGUUUAAAGGGUGCGUAGGCGGACUGAUAAGUCAGUGGUGAAAUCUCUCGGCUUAACCGAGAAACUGCCAUUGAUACUGUUAGUCUAGAGUACAGAUGAUGUGGGCGGAAUAUGACAUGUAGUGGUGAAAUACUUAGAUAUGUCAUAGAACACCGAUUGCGAAGGCAGCUCACAAAACUGUAACUGACGCUGAGGCACGAAAGUGCGGGGAUCAAACAGGAUUAGAUACCCUAGUAGUCCCUGAG
rnacentral:rRNA from 1 species